rnacentral:rRNA from 1 species
AGAGUUUGAUCCUGGCUCAGAUUGAACGCUGGCGGCAUGCUUUACACAUGCAAGUCGAACGGCAGCAUGGGGGCAACCCUGAUGGCGAGUGGCGAACGGGUGAGUAAUAUAUCGGAACGUACCCGAGAGUGGGGGACAACCAGUCGAAAGAUUGGCUAAUACCGCAUACGAUCUACGGAUGAAAGUGGGGGACCUUCGGGCCUCACGCUCCUGGAGCGGCCGAUAGCUGAUUAGCUAGUUGGUAGGGG